rnacentral:rRNA from 1 species
CGCAAGAGGAAGAGACGGCUAACUCUGUGCCAGCAGCCGCGGUAAUACAGAGGUCUCAAGCGUUGUUCGGAAUCACUGGGCGUAAAGGGUGCGUAGGUGGCGUGGUAAGUCAGAUGUGAAAGCCCAGGGCUCAACCCUGGAAUUGCAUCCGAUACUGCCGUGCUAGAGAACUGAAGGGGAGUCUGGAAUUCUCGGUGUAGCAGUGAAAUGCGUAGAUAUCGAGAGGAACACCAAUGGCGAAGGCAAGACUCUGGGCAGUUUCUGACACUGAGGCACGAAGGCCAGGGUAGCGAACGGGAUUAGAUACCCCGGUAGUCCUGGCAGUAAACGGUGCACGUUUGGUGUGGGAGGAUUCGACCCCUUCCGUGCCGGAGCUAACGCGUUAAGCGUGCCGCCUGGGAAGUACGGUCGCAAGAUUAAAACUCAAAGAAAUUGACGGGGA